CGAUUGAACGCUGGCGGCAGGCCUAACACAUGCAAGUCGAGCGGAUGAAGGGGGCUUGCUCCUGGAUUCAGCGGCGGACGGGUGAGUAAUACGCAGGAAUCUACCUGGUAGUGGGGGAUAACGUUCCGAAAGGGGCGCUAAUACCGCAUACGUUCUGAGGAAGAAAGCAGGGGCUCGUAAGACCUUGCGCUAUUAGAUGAGCUUGCGUCCGAUUAGCUAGUUGGUGGGGUAAAGGCCUACCAAGGCGACGAUCGGUAACUGGUCUGAGAGGAUGAUCAGUCACACUGGAACUGAGACACGGUCCAGACUCCUACGGGAGGCAGCAGUGGGGAAUAUUGGACAAUGGGGGCAACCCUGAUCCAGCCAUGCCGCGUGUGUGAAGAAGGCCUUCGGGUUGUAAAGCACUUUAAGCGGGGAGGAAGGCCUGACGGUUAAUACCCGUUGGGAUUGACGUUACCCGCAGAAUAAGCACCGGCAAACUUCGUG
rnacentral:rRNA from 1 species